rnacentral:rRNA from 1 species
GACGAACGCUGGCGGCGUGCUUAACACAUGCAAGUCGAACGGAAAGGCCCUGCUUUUGUGGGGUGCUCGAGUGGCGAACGGGUGAGUAACACGUGAGUAACCUGCCCUUGACUUUGGGAUAACUUCAGGAAACUGGGGCUAAUACCGGAUAGGAGCUCCUGCUGCAUGGUGGGGGUUGGAAAGUUUCGGCGGUUGGGGAUGGACUCGCGGCUUAUCAGCUUGUUGGUGGGGUAGUGGCUUACCAAGGCUUUGACGGGUAGCCGGCCUGAGAGGGUGACCGGCCACAUUGGGACUGAGAUACGGCCCAGACGGCUACGGGAGGCAGCAGUGGGGAAUAUGGCACAAUGGGCGGAAGCCUGAGGCAGCAACGCCGCGUGCGGGAUGACGGCCUUCGGGUUGUAAACCGCUGUCGCCUGUGACGAAGCGUGAGUGACGGUAAUGGGUAAAGAAGCACCGGCUAACUACGUG